AUACGGAGGAUCCGAGCGUUAUCCGGAUUUAUUGGGUUUAAAGGGUGCGCAGGCGGCCAUUUAAGUCAGCGGUUAAAUCGUGGGGCUCAACCCCAUUCUGCCGUUGAUACUGGGUGGCUUGAUUGCGGUCGAGGUUGGCGGAAUUCGUUGUGUAGCGGUGAAAUGCAUAGAUAUGACGAAGAACACCGAUUGCGUAGGCAGCUGACCAGACCGCAAAUGACGCUCAUGCACGAAAGUGCGGGGAUCGAACAGGAUUAGAUACCCUGGUAGUCCGCACAGUAAACGAUGAAUACUUGUUUUCGGCGAUAUAAUGUCGGAGGCAAAGCGAAAGCGACAAGUAUUCCACCUGGGGAGUACGCCGGCAACGGUGAAACUUAAAGGAAUUGACGGGG
rnacentral:rRNA from 1 species